rnacentral:rRNA from 1 species
GUCUGAAUAUGGGGGGACCAUCCUCCAAGGCUAAAUACUCCUGACUGACCGAUAGUGAACCAGUACCGUGAGGGAAAGGCGAAAAGAACCCCGGCGAGGGGAGUGAAAAAGAACCUGAAACCGUGUACGUACAAGCAGUGGGAGCACAGAGCAAUCUGUGUGACUGCGUACCUUUUGUAUAAUGGGUCAGCGACUUAUAUUCUGUAGCAAGGUUAACCGAAUAGGGGAGCCGAAGGGAAACCGAGUCUUAACUGGGCGUUAAGUUGCAGGGUAUAGACCCGAAACCCGGUGAUCUAGCCAUGGGCAGGUUGAAGGUUGGGUAACACUAACUGGAGGACCGAACCGACUAAUGUUGAAAAAUUAGCGGAUGACUUGUGGCUGGGGGUGAAAGGCCAAUCAAACCGGGAGAUAGCUGGUUCUCCCCGAAAGCUAUUUAGGUAGCGCCUCGUGAAUUCAUCUCCGGGGGUAGAGCACUGUUUCGGCAAGGGGGUCAUCCCGACUUACCAACCCGAUGCAAACUGCGAAUACCGGAGAAUGUUAUCACGGGAGACACACGGCGGGUGCUAACGUCCGUCGUGAAGAGGGAAACAACCCAGACCGCCAGCUAAGGUCCCAAAGUCAUGGUUAAGUGGGAAACGAUGUGGGAAGGCCCAGACAGCCAGGAUGUUGGCUUAGAAGCAGCCAUCAUUUAAAGAAAGCGUAAUAGCUCACUGGUCGAGUCGGCCUGCGCG